GAUGAACGCUAGCGGCAGGCCUAAUACAUGCAAGUCGGACGGGAUUUGGGAGCUUGCUCCUAAUGAGAGUAGCGCACGGGUGCGUAACACGUAUGUAACCUACCUUAAUCAGGGGGAUAGCCUCUCGAAAGAGAGAUUAACACCGCAUAAUAUAUUUUUAUGGCAUCGUAGAAAUAUCAAAUAUUUAUAGGAUUAAGAUGGGCAUGCGGAACAUUAGCUAGUUGGUAAGGUAACGGCUUACCAAGGCUACGAUGUUUAGGGGAUCUGAGAGGAUGACCCCCCACCCUGGUACUGAGACACGGACCAGACGCCUACGGGAGGCAGCAGUAAGGAAUAUUGGUCAAUGGGCGCAAGCCUGAACCAGCCAUGCCGCGUGCAGGAAGACGGCCCUAUGGGUUGUAAACUGCUUUUGUACCGGAAUAAACCCUUUUACGUGUAGAAGGCUGAAUGUACGGUAAGAAUAAGGAUCGGCUAACUCCGUGCCAGCCGCCGCAGUAA
rnacentral:rRNA from 1 species